GACGAACGCUGGCGGCGCGCCUAACACAUGCAAGUCGAACGGAGCGCAUUAGAAGAACCCUUCGGGGGGAUUUUGGUGUUGCUUAGUGGCGAACGGGUGAGUAACACGUGAGCAACCUGCCUUGAAGUGGGGGACAACGUUUGGAAACAGACGCUAAUACCGCAUAAGACCACGUCCUCGCAUGGGGAUGCGGCCAAAGGAGCAAUCCGCUUUAAGAGGGGCUCGCGCCCGAUUAGCUAGAUGGUGAGGUAAUGGCUCACCAUGGCAACGAUCGGUAGCCGGACUGAGAGGUUGAACGGCCACAUUGGGACUGAGACACGGCCCAGACUCCUACGGGAGGCAGCAGUGGGGGAUAUUGCACAAUGGGCGAAAGCCUGAUGCAGCGACGCCGCGUGAGGGAAGAAGGUUUUCGGAUUGUAAACCUCUGUCUUCGGGGACGAAACAAAUGACGGUACCCGAGGAGGAAGCCACGGCUAACUACGUGCCAGCCGCCGCCGUAACAC
rnacentral:rRNA from 1 species